ACAUUCCCGAUCCUGCGGACAGAUUGGAAAGCAGUCGACGUCGCCCAAAACACGUCAUUACGGAUCCUCCCGAUCCACUGACGGUGCUAUUAGCGCUUUUAGCACCGGUCAUCGUCCUCGUCGAACCCCUGGUUUUACCCCUGCACCAUUCCCACCCCGCGGAACCCCAUGGCUAUGAAGAUAUUCACGAUGGUUAUGAAUAUAUCCACGGUUAAUUUUUUUUAUAAAAAUUGCAUUAUUUAGUCAAACUCGAAGGGAGUUUAAGUUUGAAUCCGCCUUAUCUCCGGCGCUGCGGGAAGAGCAGCCCUUCCACCCUUGCGUGCCGAAGCACGGUCACUCGUGCUCCGCUUCGCCGAAAAUUGCGCGGACGGAGGUGUAUGAAAUUUCUCACAUUUAUAGAGAAUAUAGAGGUGGAGCUCACAAUGCUAUAUUAUUUUAAAAUAAUGCAUAAAAGAUACUUUAGAUCAAUAAAGAAAACAUUACACACACUACCAUGUAUUUGACACAACACAUACAUUAAAAUAUACUCUUUCUUUACUGUCAAUUGGAAAACUUUUGUUACUGUUUAAAAUCUGUGGUCGAAUUGAAAAUAGAUUAAUAUUGUUUAUCUUUAAAAUUAUUUAUCUAUAGUGCAGUUUUGGCGAAUACUGUGAUUAUAUUAUCGAAAUAUAAUAAUAGUGUUUGACAAUAGAACCAUAAUAAUGUUUAAACUUAUAAUUUCAAUUGAUUAUAGUCGAAUCUCGACUACUGCGCGGUCACUAGUCUACGGUAAUAUUUGAGUCGACUAUUAUCAAAGCCGGCAAUGUGACUUUUGGACAAUUAUUGGUAAAUCAGAAAAACGAAUUAUUGACUUUGUAUUCAAUUGGCAGUCACAAAACUCUUCUUAACGACAUCUUAGAUAAAUAACAGGUUAAGUAUUAACCUUUAUUUAAUGCAGGUUUUGAACCGUAUUCUUUGAAGGAGACGAUUAUAUUCAAAUCAAUCUGUAUUGACAUAUCAAUAACAUUUUUUUGUCCGAAUGCACAGAUUGCCACCUUUGAUAAUAGACGACUCAUUUACGUUAUUACCAAAUCUUCGAACAUGUCACGAUCGGCCGCGAUGACUACGCUAACCCAGAGAAACUAAAAAUAUAUCUACUUAUUAAUAAACAUAAAAAAAUAUUGUACCCGUUUUAAAUUCUAGAAUUUUUUUUAUCAUCGCACAAGCGUCACCUUUUAUUGUGGACUCCGAAUUAGUGUUAGAAUUUAUUGUCGCGAUAUUUCCUAUACCAUUAUUAAAACCGGACCAAAUUGGGACCACACAGGAAGCUUCAGCUUUCUAAUAAAAAAAAGAAUCAUCAAAAUCGAUUCACCCAGGCAUAAAGCUAUGAGAUUUUAUGAACUGGUAACUGAGGCCUUUAAGUCAUGUCUUAUUUUAAUUUAUAUUCAUAUUUUUAUGAAAAAAUGAUAUUAUGGAGUGAAAUGAAAUGAAGAUGAUUAAUUUGAGACAUUAAUCAACUGGGAUGAAACAAAUGAAAUGAAAUGAGAUGAUAUGGAAUGAAAUAUAAUCUCAGUAAAAUGGUGGUCAUUUACUAAGAUUUUUUCAGUGGACUUUUUGGAGGAUCCCGAGAAGUUACGUCCAGCGGCUUUGUUACAUUUUCCCACAUUUGUACACUUUCACAGAUAUUAAACAGUUAAUAAACCACCGUUAUUACUCAUUUAAACCUGAAGAAACACUAAAUAGACACUAAAUGACGACGCUUGCAGCUGAAAAUGACCUAUUAUUUGCGGACGAACUCAAACAAACACUCGAGAAUUAUCUUUUCGGGGAUAUGUCCACAGACUUACAAGGGCAAGCGGCGCGUCGGUAGACAGUACACGCUUUGGCAGGACGACAUUAGAAAAGUUGCUGGACCACACUGGAUUUAUGUCGCCAGAGACAAAACCAAAUGGAAAUCUUUGGAGGAGGCCUUUACCUGAGAGACCCCUCUCAUAUAUAAGCAUAUAAUAUAUUUAUAUACUAAAAAAAGAAAAGCAAAAUGUAAUUGCAUGGAAUAAAGGGCUUUUUAAUUUU